rnacentral:rRNA from 1 species
UGGGGAAUAUUGCACAAUGGGCGCAAGCCUGAUGCAGCCAUGCCGCGUGUAUGAAGAAGGCCUUCGGGUUGUAAAGUACUUUCAGCGGGGAGGAAGGGAGUAAAGUUAAUACCUUUGCUCAUUGACGUUACCCGCAGAAGAAGCACCGGCUAACUCCGUGCCAGCAGCCGCGGUAAUACGGAGGGUGCAAGCGUUAAUCGGAAUUACUGGGCGUAAAGCGCACGCAGGCGGUUCGUUAAGUCAGAUGUGAAAUCCCCGGGCUCAACCUGGGAACUGCAUCUGAUACUGGCAAGCUUGAGUCUCGUAGAGGGGGGUAGAAUUCCAGGUGUAGCGGUGAAAUGCGUAGAGAUCUGGAGGAAUACCGGUGGCGAAGGCGGCCCCCUGGACGAAGACUGACGCUCAGGUGCGAAAGCGUGGGGAGCAAACA